rnacentral:lncRNA from 1 species
CUCGUCUGAGCCUGCUCCUUUUCCUGCUUACAUGACACUUCCUUACAGGAGCAGAUGAAGACAGCUUCCCAAGCCUCACGGGAGAUGCAGCUGUCGGGGGAAGAGGACUGCAGCACCACUGACAGGGGCACCUUCUGCUCAUUAAUCAUACAGGUAUUGGUCUUGCCUAAUCCAAUUCCCUUCGAGUCUAUUGAGCAGGCAACUACCAAAUGUUUCUGAAACUGUAAAAAGGCAUGCACAGCCAAAUCCACUUAGCAGAGCUAAGAACACAAAUCUAUUGUGCUACACAACCUGCAACUUCCAACGCACUUUAGAAGAACGGAUUAUUACUGCCUGCUGUUUUUUUGCUUUUAAGCCAACCAUGCAACUGAGCCUUGGUAUUUCAAGUCAUAACAGAAACAAUGAGUGCGAGCAGUCAGUUUUGAAACAGCUGCAGCACUGUUGGUUUCUUUUGGGGGGAUGGGGAGGUAAAGAGCUUCUGAAGAGAAGUUACAGGCACU